UAGGGAAUCUUCGGCAAUGGGGGCAACCCUGACCGAGCAACGCCGCGUGAGUGAAGAAGGUUUUCGGAUCGUAAAGCUCUGUUGUAAGUCAAGAACGAGUGUGAGAGUGGAAAGUUCACACUGUGACGGUAGCUUACCAGAAAGGGACGGCUAACUACGUGCCAGCAGCCGCGGUAAUACGUAGGUCCCGAGCGUUGUCCGGAUUUAUUGGGCGUAAAGCGAGCGCAGGCGGUUUGAUAAGUCUGAAGUUAAAGGCUGUGGCUCAACCAUAGUUCGCUUUGGAAACUGUCAAACUUGAGUGCAGAAGGGGAGAGUGGAAUUCCAUGUGUAGCGGUGAAAUGCGUAGAUAUAUGGAGGAACACCGGUGGCGAAAGCGGCUCUCUGGUCUGUAACUGACGCUGAGGCUCGAAAGCGUGGGGAGCGAACAGGAUUAGAUACCCUGGUAGUCCACGCCGUNNCGAUGAGUGCUAGGUGUUGGAUCCUUUCCGGGAUUCAGUGCCGCAGCUAACGCAUUAAGCACUCCGCCUGGGGAGUACGACCGCAAGGUUG
rnacentral:rRNA from 1 species